UCCGUAGGUGAACCUGCGGAGGGAUCAUUACUGAGUUUACGCUCUACAACCCUUUGUGAACAUACCUAUAACUGUUGCUUCGGCGGGUAGGGUCUCCGUGACCCUCCCGGCCUCCCGCCCCCGGGCGGGUCGGCGCCCGCCGGAGGAUAACCAAACUCUGAUUUAACGACGUUUCUUCUGAGUGGUACAAGCAAAUAAUCAAAACUUUUAACAACGGAUCUCUUGGUUCUGGCAUCGAUGAAGAACGCAGCGAAAUGCGGUAAGUAAUGUGAAUUGCAGAAUUCAGUGAAUCAUCGAAUCUUUGAACGCACAUUGCGCCCGCCAGCAUUCUGGCGGGCAUGCCUGUUCGAGCGUCAUUUCAACCCUCAAGCUCUGCUUGGUGUUGGGGCCCUACAGCCGAUGUAGGCCCUCAAAGGUAGUGGCGGACCCUCCCGGAGCCUCCUUUGCGUAGUAACUUUACGUCUCGCACUGGGAUCCGGAGGGACUCUUGCCGUAAAACCCCCAAUUUUCCAAAGGUUGACCUCGGAUCAGGUAGGAAUACCCGCUGAACUUAAGCAUAUCAAUAAGCGGAGGA
rnacentral:rRNA from 1 species